rnacentral:rRNA from 1 species
UGGGGAAUAUUGCACAAUGGGCGCAAGCCUGAUGCAGCCAUGCCGCGUGUAUGAAGAAGGCCUUCGGGUUGUAAAGUACUUUCAGCGGGGAGGAAGGGAGUAAAGUUAAUACCUUUGCUCAUUGACGUUACCCGCAGAAGAAGCACCGGCUAACUCCGUGCCAGCAGCCGCGGUAGUACGGAGGGUGCAAGCGUUAAUCGGAAUUACUGGGCGUAAAGCGCACGCAGGCGGUUUGUUAAGUCAGAUGUGAAAUCCCCGGGCUCAACCUGGGAACUGCAUCUGAUACUGGCAAGCUUGAGUCUCGUAGAGGGGGGUAGAAUUCCAGGUGUAGCGGUGAAAUGCGUAGAGAUCUGGAGGAAUACCGGUGGCGAAGGCGGCCCCCUGGACGAAGACUGACGCUCAGGUGCGAAAGCGUGGGGAGCAAACA